rnacentral:rRNA from 1 species
GACGUAGGGGGCCAGCGUUGUCCGGAUUCAUUGGGCGUAAAGGGUGCGUAGGCGGCGCGGUAAGUCGGAUGUGAAAUCUUGGAGCUUAACUCCGAAACUGCAUUCGAUACUGCCGUGCUUGAGGACUGGAGAGGAGACUGGAAUUUACGGUGUAGCGGUGAAAUGCGUAGAUAUCGUAAGGAAGACCAGUGGCGAAGGCGGGUCUCCGGACAGUUCCUGACGCUGAAGCACGAAGGCCAGGGGAGCAAACGGG